AUAGUCCUUGCCUUCCUGAGACAACAACUUGUAUACAGUUCCUCUAAUGAAGGCAAGAGACAACCAGUGAUCUUCUGGGCUGUGGUGACGACCCACUGGAGAGCUGUCCUGUCUGUGACUGUGCAGCUGAAAAACCACACACAGACAGUAGGUCAAAAUGCUCUCUAUGGAGCAGCGAUAGAAGGACACCAGCAGUCUCUGUGGCAGAUGGUUAUUCCUGAGAACCCUCAGGAAAUAGAGUCUCUGUUAUGCCUUCUUGAUGGUAGCCAUAGUAUUUGUGCUCCAAGUCAGGUCAUCUCUCAAAUACACACCCAGAAAACGAAAUUCAGAGACCCACUCCACACAGUCCCCAUCCAUGACCAGUGGCUGGAUGACUGUUUUCCUCCUUCUAUAGUCCACCACAAUCUCCUUUGUCUUUGAGGUGUUGAGGAUCAAAUUGUUCUCCCUACACCAGACCGACAACCGCUGCACCUCCUCUCUAUAGGCGGACUCAUCCUCACCAGAAAUGAGUCCCACCACAGUAGUAUCAUCAGCAAACUUAAUAAUAUUGUUGCUGAAGUGAGAGGGGGUGCAGUCAUAGGUUAAGUUUAUAUUUAUUUCCAGUUU